AUUAGUGUGGCAGAAGCUGGAUAGUGCAGAAGGUCUAAGCCCUUUAUAUAUGGGUUCAAAUCCCUUUACUAAUC
rnacentral:tRNA from 1 species